AGAGUUUGAUCAUGGCUCAGAACGAACGCUGGCGGCAUGCCUAACACAUGCAAGUCGAACGAGACCUUCGGGUCUAGUGGCGCACGGGUGCGUAACGCGUGGGAAUCUGCCCUUGGGUUCGGAAUAACAGUUAGAAAUGACUGCUAAUACCGGAUAAUGUCUUCGGACCAAAGAUUUAUCGCCCAGGGAUGAGCCCGCGUAGGAUUAGCUAGUUGGUGAGGUAAAGGCUCACCAAGGCGACGAUCCUUAGCUGGUCUGAGAGGAUGAUCAGCCACACUGGGACUGAGACACGGCCCAGACUCCUACGGGAGGCAGCAGUGGGAAUAUUGGACAAUGGGCGAAAGCCUGAUCCAGCAAUGCCGCGUGAGUGAUGAAGGCCUUAGGGUUGUAAAGCUCUUUUACCCGGGAUGAUAAUGACAGUACCGGGAGAAUAAGCCCCGGCUAACUCCGUG
rnacentral:rRNA from 1 species